rnacentral:rRNA from 2 species
UGGGGAAUCUUAGACAAUGGGCGCAAGCCUGAUCUAGCCAUGCCGCGUGAUCGAUGAAGGCCUUAGGGUUGUAAAGAUCUUUCGUGGGGGAAGAUAAUGACGGUACCCCAAGAAGAAGCCCCGGCUAACUCCGUGCCAGCAGCCGCGGUAAUACGGAGGGGGCUAGCGUUAUUCGGAAUUACUGGGCGUAAAGCGCACGUAGGCGGAUUGGAAAGUCAGAGGUGAAAUCCCAGAGCUCAACUUUGGAACUGCCUUUGAAACUCCCAGUCUUGAGGUCGAGAGAGGUGAGUGGAAUUCCGAGUGUAGAGGUGAAAUUCGUAGAUAUUCGGAGGAACACCAGUGGCGAAGGCGGCUCACUGGCUCGAUACUGACGCUGAGGUGCGAAAGCGUGGGGAGCAAACAGG